rnacentral:rRNA from 1 species
ACUACGGGUGGCAGCAGUGGGGGAUAUUGCACAAUGGGGGGAACCCUGAUGCAGCGACGCCGCGUGGGUGAAGAAGCGCCUCGGCGCGUAAAGCCCUGUCAGCAGGGAAGAAAAUGACGGUACCUGAAGAAGAAGCCCCGGCUAACCACGUGCCAGCAGCCGCGGUAAUACGUAGGGGGCAAGCGUUAUCCGGAUUUACUGGGUGUAAAGGGGGCGCAGACGGCGAUGCAAGCCAGGAGUGAAAGCCCGGGGCCCAACCCCGGGACUGCUCUUGGAACUGCGUGGCUGGAGUGCAGGAGGGGCAGGCGGAAUUCCUGGUGUAGCGGUGAAAUGCGUAGAUAUCAGGAGGAACACCGGUGGCGAAGGCGGCCUGCUGGACUGCAACUGACGUUGAGGCCCGAAAGCGUGGGGAGCAAACAGGAUUAGAUACCCCUGUAGUC